CACGUAGGGUGCGAGCGUUGUCCGGAAUUAUUGGGCGUAAAGAGCUCGUAGGCGGUCCGUCACGUCGGAUGUGAAAUUCCAGGGCUCAACCCUGGACCUGCAUUCGAUACGGGCGGACUAGAGUUCGGUAGGGGAGACUGGAAUUCCUGGUGUAGCGGUGAAAUGCGCAGAUAUCAGGAGGAACACCGGUGGCGAAGGCGGGUCUCGUGGGCAGUAACUGACGCUGAGGAGCGAAAGCGUGGGGGAGCGAACAGGA
rnacentral:rRNA from 1 species